rnacentral:ncRNA from 1 species
GCCCUAUAUAGAUGUAUUCAACGCUAGACAGUUGGGCAUCUCCCUGUAGGAUGAAGUUUAAUUAGAAGCUCUGGCAAUAAUUUUCAUCGUGUGGCUAAAGUCGAAAUGGAAUGAGUCAGAGUGGAAUAGGUUAACCGUAAGACCUUGAGUUGAAAAACUCUAAAAUUGAGCUAGAGAUACGGGAGUUUUGAAAUUUCGUAUUUUCUAGUUACGGUGCU